GAUUAAGCAUACUUAAGUGCAGUUGGUGGAUGCCUAGACAUUAAAAGACGAUGAAGGACGUAGCAGCCUGCGAAAAGCCUCGGUAAGGUGGCAAGCAACCUUUGACCCGGGGAUAUCCGAAUGGGGAAACCCGUCUAAUUGAAGAUUAGACAUCUGUGCCUGAAUACAUAGGGUAUCAGAAGAAGACCUAGCGAAGUGAAACAUCUCAGUAGCUAGAGGAAAAGAAAAAAAUAAAUGCCUUCAGUUUUAUCUUCUCUCAUUUAUGAGAGGAUAUAAAUCUGUGGGUUGUAUUCCGUGAGUAGUGGCGAGCGAAAGCGGAGCAGUCCAAACCUUAACAGUGUUGUAUAAAUUUGAUGAAACUCUCACGAGUCGAUUCGGUUUAUACUUAAAGAUACAUAUCGUUGCUGUUAGGGGGUUUUAGAUAAUUACGUCUGUUAGUAUGUAAUAACAGGGUAGCAAUAUAUAACUUCCCUAGUGGAGUGGUCCUGGAAAGGCCAACCAAAGCAGGUGAUAGUCCUAUACGCGAAAGGGGUUAUAUAUCUACGGUUUUUGUCUCGAGUACCACGGGACUCGUGAAAUCCUGUGGGAAUUUGUCGUGACUAUGCGAUAAGACUAAAUACUUUUAAUGAUCGAUAGUGAACUAGUACCGUGAGGGAAAGGUGAAAAGCAGGCCGGUAAGGCCGAUGAAAUAGUAUCUGAAACCAAUUGCAUACAAUGAGUUGGAGCCCAAGUGAUUCCUUCGGGAAUAUUACUGGGUGACAGCGUUCCUAUUGAAGAAUGAGCCAACGAGUUUGUUCUACGUUGCUUGUUUAAUCCCGCAUAGGGAGAAGGCAAAGUGAAAGCGAGGCUUAAUAGGCCGAAAGGACACUGCCUUUAGACACUUUUGAUUAUAAAUCUUUCAGAUUUUGAGGAAAUUUUUUUAAACAAUUUUAAGGGCGAUGAUUAUUCAUCGUUGAUAAAAUUUUUAUAAAAAUUUACCACAAUAUGAAGAUUUAGAACAAAGAAGGUGUUUGAAGGCAGUGUCCAGAUAGCAGCGUGGACAAGACCCGAAACCGGGUGACCUAACCAUGACCAGGGUGAACCAAAUGUAACAGUUUGGGGAGGCCCGAACCCACGAGCCGUGCAACACUCGGGGAUGAGUUGUGGUUAGCGGAGAAAUUCCAAUCGAACUCGGUAAUAGCUGGUUCUCCUCGAAAUAGCUUUAGGG
rnacentral:rRNA from 1 species